UCUUUAGGAGAGCUCGAUCCUGGCUCAGAAUAAACGCUGGCGAUAUGCAUAACACAUGCUAGUCAAAUUUUUAGUUGUUUUAAAACAAUGGCGAACAGGUGAGUAAUACAUGAGAACCAUCCCUUGGGAAGGAAAUAUCAAUUGGAAACUUUUGUUAAUAUCCUAUAAAAAAAAAAGGAGGAAUCCACCCUUUGUUGGGCUCAUGCUUGAUUAGCUGGUUUGUGGGGUAAAGGCCUACAAAGGCGACGAUCAAUAGUUGGUCUGAUAGGAUGAUCAGCCACACUGGUACUGAGACAAGGACCAGACUCCUAUGGGAGGCAGCAGUGGGGAAUAUUUCGCAAUGGGCAAAAGCCUGACGAAGCAAUAUUGCAUGAAGGUAGAAGGCCGAAGGUCGUAAACUUCUUUUAUUGGAGAAGAAAGAAAAAAAGACGUUAUCUAAUGAAUAAGCAUUGGCUAACUCUGUGCCAGCAGCCGCGGUAAAACAGGGGAUGCAAGCGUUAUUCAGUUUUAUUGGGCAUAAAGUGUUUUUAGGUGGUUAAAUUAGUCUAUAAUAAAAAGUCGAAACGAAAUCUCGGACAUGUUUUAGAAACUAUUUAACUGGAGUACAAUAAAAUAAAGGUGGAGGGAAUUUAUAGUUGAGCGGUGAAAUGCGUAGAGAUUGUAAGGAACCCCGAAGGCAAAGGCACUCCACAGAAUUGUUACUAACACUGAAGAACGAAAGCUAGGGGAGCAAAUGGGAUUAGAUACCCCAGUAGUCUUAGCUGUAAACGAUGGAUACUAAGUCUUAUGUGUGGUUGGUCCACAUAAUACAUAGCUUAUGCAAAAAGUAUCCCGCCUGGGGAGUACGUUCGCAAGAAUGAAACUCAAAGGAAUUGACGGGGACCCACACAAGUGAUGGAGCAUGUAGUUUAAUUCGAUGCAAAGCGAAGAAUCUUACCAGGGCUUGAUGCCACAAACCCUUUCGAAAGGAAUUGGGUUUUUUUUCUUUCUUGAAUGUGGACACAGGUGGUGCAUGGCUGUCUUCAGUUCGUGCCGUAAGGUGUUGAGUUAAGUCUCAUAACGAACGCAACCCUCAUGCUCAGUUGCCUAAAAAUUAGGAACUCUGAACAGACAGUUUGGUCACACAAAAGGAAGGUGAGGACUACGUCAAGUCAUCAUGCUCCUUAUGCUCUGGGCUACAUACGUGCUACAAUGGAUAGUACAAAGAGUAGCGACUCCGCAAAGAUGGGCGAAACUAAAAAAUCUAUUCUAAGUUCUGAUUGCAAGCUGUAACUCGCCUGCAUGAAGUUGAAAUCACUAGUAAUCGCCGGUCAGCAAUACGGCGGUGAAUAAGUUACUGGGUCUUGUACACACUGCCCGUCACAUUAUGGGAGUAGGUUGUGCUUGAAGUUAAAAAAAAACAACAAGGGUAUGGCUAUCAACUGUAGUGAAGUCGUAACAAGGUAGCAGUACUGGAAGGUGCGGCUGGAUUAUACUCAUA
rnacentral:rRNA from 1 species